AAGUGGGAUUUAGAGUUCGGCAUUCAGACAGCCGAACCACGUUCACUAUUAAGACUUAUAUUCGCUUUGAGUAUUUGUGCCCUUACACUUUGGUGUCGAUUCGGCGUAAGUUUACUCUGACGAAUAACAUCACUGUGACCGAAUCUGACGACGGUGAUUCGUGAACUUCGUAAGAAUAGUAGCCUUGUCUUUAGGUUCGAGAAC
rnacentral:lncRNA from 1 species